rfam:Gossypium raimondii chromosome 13, whole genome shotgun sequence.
AUCCCAUGAUGAGGACACUUAAGAAGCAAAUCCUUAAAUAUUUCCCAUGCCUUGUAUAAGGACUUGUCAUCCAAUUAUUGAAAAGUAGUUAUCUCUUUUCGCAACUU